rnacentral:rRNA from 1 species
AGGAAUAUUGGUCAAUGGACGAGAGUCUGAACCAGCCAAGUAGCGUGAAGGAUGACUGCCCUAUGGGUUGUAAACUUCUUUUAUACGGGAAUAAAGUGAGGCACGUGUGCCUUUUUGUAUGUACCGUAUGAAUAAGGAUCGGCUAACUCCGUGCCAGCAGCCGCGGUAAUACGGAGGAUCCGAGCGUUAUCCGGAUUUAUUGGGUUUAAAGGGAGCGUAGGCGGACGCUUAAGUCAGUUGUGAAAGUUUGCGGCUCAACCGUAAAAUUGCAGUUGAUACUGGGUGUCUUGAGUACAGUAGAGGCAGGCGGAAUUCGUGGUGUAGCGGUGAAAUGCUUAGAUAUCACGAAGAACUCCGAUUGCGAAGGCAGCUUGCUGGACUGUAACUGACGCUGAUGCUCGAAGGUGUGGGUAUCAAACAGGAUUAGAUACCCUGGUAGUCCACACAGUAAACGAUGAAUACUCGCUGUUUGCGAUAUACAGUAAGCGGCCAAGCGAAAGCGUUAAGUAUUCCACCUGGGGAGUACGCCGGCAACGGUGAAACUCAAAGGAAUUGACGGGGGCCCGCACAAGCGGAGGAACAUGUGGUUUAAUUCGAUGAUACGCGAGGAACCUUACCCGGGCUUGAAUUGCAACUGAAUGAUGUGGAGACAUGUCAGCCGCAAGGCAGUUGUGAAGGUGCUGCAUGGUUGUCGUCAGCUCGUGCCGUGAGGUGUCGGCUUAAGUGCCAUAACGAGCGCAACCCUUAUCGAUAGUUACCAUCAGGUUAUGCUGGGGACUCUGUCGAGACUGCCGUCGUAAGAUGUGAGGAAGGUGGGGAUGACGUCAAAUCAGCACGGCCCUUACGUCCGGGGCUACACACGUGUUACAAUGGGGGGUACAGAAGGCAGCUACACGGCGACGUGAUGCUAAUCCCGAAAGCCUCUCUCAGUUCGGAUUGGAGUCUGCAACCCGACUCCAUGAAGCUGGAUUCGCUAGUAAUCGCGCAUCAGCCACGGCGCGGUGAAUACGUUCCCG